rnacentral:rRNA from 1 species
CAGUCGCCGCGGGAAUACGUAGGUGGCAAGCGUUGUCCGGAAUUAUUGGGCGUAAAGCGCGCGCAGGCGGAUAGGUCAGUCUGUCUUAAAAGUUCGGGGCUUAACCCCGUGAUGGGAUGGAAACUGCCAAUCUAGAGUAUCGGAGAGGAAAGUGGAAUUCCUAGUGUAGCGGUGAGAUGCGUAGAUAUUAGGAAGAACACCAGUGGCGAAGGCGACUUUCUGGACGAAAACUGACGCUGAGGCGCGAAAGCCAGGGGAGCGAACGGGAUUAGAGACCCCAGUAGUCCCUGUCUCUUAUACA